rnacentral:miRNA from 1 species
AACUUUUUAAUAGCUACAACUUCU